rnacentral:tRNA from 1 species
GGGUCCGUAGCUCAGCCUGGUAGAGCGCUUGCGAUAUUAUUCAGCGAAACUCUUAAUCAAGCGGUCGCGAGUUCGAAUCUCGUCGGACCCG